CGAGUGCCACGUGGACCAAAGGUCAACCCACUGAAAGCUGAUUGGCAUAUCCGCGCGCUGGCUAGGAACUAGAGUGUAGCAAUGUAGAUAGAUAGAAAAUCACAGACCAGAGAUGAUGUACAAAGGUUAUAGACUAUGACGUAUAUCAUCACUCAACAUCUUUAUUAACCAAUGAGGUGUAUGUGUGUGAGAGAUGUGACGUAAAACAAGGACAAAUGAAGUACAGGCGAAAUCGUGAUUUCAGUUCAAUAAUUGGUGGAACUGUAGAACAAGUUCCUUCCGCUCUUACUGUCCUUGUAGAGCUGCUUGAUAUGUCAUCCUUCGUUUCUAAACUAAGAGGAUGAAAGGAAAACACCAAAGACAGUACACCGUGAGGAGUGUUUAAGUAUUUACUAACGUAACAAAUGACAAAUGAAGAGAGAUGUUAACAUUCGAGUGAAAGUCGUGACGCAUGAGUCAGGAUUUACUAUUAUUUCAUCCAACAUCUGGACCCAAGGAUUACACAAAUGGAAUAACGCAAAAUUCUGGUAACUUCUCGAGGAUGAGGGCUUGUACCAAAGAACCCAAAAUUAAAGUUAAACUGUAUAAUCUAAACAAAGAUUUAUUACCGAACAUUCUUCAAAUUUCUCGAAGUGUGUAGGCACUAUUAGAUGUGUAAACGUUUCUAGAAAAAUGGUUCGUGCUAAUAAAGCACGGAUUUUUAUAUUA